CAAAACUUUCGAAGUGUAGUGAAAUGUUACGAUAUUGCAAAUGCAGAAAGGAAAGAGCACCGAAGGUUUCGUGAAGGCUUGAACGCACGAUCGGUAGUCUUCGUGAGCUGCUACAAGGAUCUGUUGGUAGACCGAGGUAACCAGGAGAACCUAGACAGAAGCAUCCCAAAGGAGACACAAGUAUGCCAGCGGUAUCCCAGAGCAGAGCGGGGACAGCAGAGUCUUCGCCAAGUCGAAAAACUGGCCCACAAGCAGCAAAGUGAACUUCUGCCAGAAACUCUCCGGUACAGCUCGACACCUACAUUAAUGCGCUUCUGUUUACAUACAUGCAAAAGAAAACCGAACAAACUGCUGGCAACGGAGAGCACGUGGAUGGAGUAAAAUGUGUUGUUAUUAAGUAUUCCUAGAAAGCAAGGGUUCAAAUAAAUAAGGUUCUCCGCAUUUCUUGUCA
rnacentral:lncRNA from 1 species